AAAUUUUGCAGACCGUUUGGGAAUCAACUUGCGACUAUUACUAAGUGGGCCUCCGUUGAGCGCGUUAGUGCCUGCCGAUCCAUAAUAAGGCACAUGAUUUAUAGUUGGCAGCAUUUCUAAGGGAAGGUUGUAUGUUUGAAAAGAGUGAAUGGAUGCUGAAGGAGAAUGUAAUUCAUCAUCAUUGGUAGGGAUUAGGUUUUCGUAAACAAAAUUUUCUGAUUCUUCAUCGUUUGGAUCCUGAUCAACGGCAGAGGCCACUCUUGCUGCAAACAUA